rnacentral:lncRNA from 10 species
AUGCUCAGAUGGUUUGUACAGCAACCCACCUCCUGCUCACACGCACAGCCACUUCCGCCUCCCCACGGGACUGCCAGCCUCAGUCCUCUUGUCCCCAGCUGCGGCUCAGCUGCCUGGCCCUCCCUCCAUUACCUGGGUUCUCCAGCUGACUCCGGAUGUAGCAGAGGGCAGAGAGCGCUGCCUGCUGUUUGGCCUCCGUCUUGCUAUUCGCAGUGCCCGCAGGGCAGACCACCCCAUCCAGUUCCGCGCUCACCGAGAAGGGGAAGCAGGGACCUGGGGAAGGAGCCAGGUGAGGAAGCAGCCCCCUGGCCUUCGCCCUGUGACAGGCUCCAUCGCCACCCCAUGCCGCGCACACCCUUGAGUGCCUCUGCAGGCUGUGACCCAUCGCUGAUUCAACCAAGUCCUCACCCAACUCCUCCACAGCAGGGAUGCGUGACUCCAUUUCACAGAUGA